GGCCUCGUGGCCUAAUGGCUAGGGCGCUAGAUUUCGGUUCUUCCAUCAAGAUUCUCUAGAGAUUGUCGGUUCGAGUCCGGCCGAGGUCG